rnacentral:rRNA from 1 species
UUGACCUCGGAUCAGGUAGGAAUACCCGCCGAACUUAAGCAUAUCA